rnacentral:rRNA from 1 species
AUGCACAACAGGACUGACGAGGAGCUCUUCUGGAGGGCGUCCAUGGUGCCCAGGGUCGCCCGCGUGCCAUGGCGGAUCGUGCCCAAGGUGGCCUUCCUGUUCCUCGUGAGGAGGGACCUGCCGCUGCGGCCGUUGUGGGAGAAGUUCUUCGUCGGGCACGAGGGGCUCUACUCCAUCUACGUCCACGCCAGCCCCGCCUACACCAGCUUGCCGCCGGCAGACUCCGUCUUCCACGGCCGCAUGAUCCCAAGCCAGAACACCAGCUGGGGCGACAUGAACCUGGUGGACGCGGAGCGGCGACUGGUGGCGACGGCGCUGCUGGACCUCGCCAACGCGCGGUUCACGCUGCUGUCGGAGUCGUGCGUCCCUCUCCUGUCCUCCCCGGCCGUCUACGCCUUCCUCACCGGCUCCAACGCCAGCUUCGUCGACAGCUACGUCGACGGCGCGCGGCACGCCCCCUUCUUCACCCAACGCAACGUCAGCCUCGCCCAGUGGCGCAAGGGGUCACAGUGGUUCGAGAUGGACCGAGCGAUCGCCGUGGAGGUCGUCGCCAAGGAGCGGUUCAUGGCCGUGUUCCGCGGUCACCACGGCGUCGCCAACAUGGAAGAGCACUACCUGCCGACACUGGUGACCCUGCUCGGCUGGGGCGCGCGCAACGCGAACCGGACCCUCACGUACGCCAAAUGGCGGGCGGGAGCCUGGCACCCGGUGAGCUAUGGCGGGACGGUCGUCACGGCAGAGCUGCUGGAGGGGAUGAGGCGAGGGAACGGGGAGUGCGGCUACCGUGGGGGCGGCGGGGCCGUUGAGUUCUGCUUCAUGUUCGCGCGCAAGUUCUCCGGGGACGCGCUCGGCAAGCUGCUCGAGCUGGCUCCUAAGGUCAUGGGGUUCGGCUGA